ACUCUAACAAAAUUUUGGUGGUAACUACUGGGAAUAGAAAUUCCCAGUAUUACCAGUGGUAAAAGGUGGGAAAAAAAAUCCCAGUAGUUACCACUGGUAACAACUUGGUGGUAACUAGUGGGAAUAACCCAAGAUUUAUUGUGCUACAAAAAUAAUCAAUAAGGAUGAAAAAAGGAAGAAAUAAAUAUAGAUCAAACUUCUUAAAAUAAGGUAAAUGGGGAGAAGACCGUCUAUUAAGGGAAGACCGUCUACAAGCUCUUGCGUCGCUUUUAACUCCUGCAUUUGUACACAUACUCCGUUACAGAAGGUCGGUAGAGCAGGAGUAAAACUUCCUUUCUGUGUCCGAGUAUUCCACCUAUCCAUUUUCUUUGUCCAAUUUGUAUUGCGUCUCACAUUUUGCUUAAUGAGAGAGUGCGACGCAAUGACAUUGGACAAAGAAAUUGUACAGGUGGAAUACCACCCUGAGCGACGAACGUAUACGAGUUCUUGUCCUAUGACGGUCUUACCUGCAAUACAUUUUGUAGUCCGGUUUUCUCCACAUCGGUCUUAACUGUAGUUAGCAGCAAAACUAAGCGGGGGGUGUUCAGAAUUAUCUUAACACAUCUUAAGAUAUAUUAUUAAGAGAGUAUAAUAUUAAUAACUUUAAUACAUAGUUCAUUUAGAACAUCUCACACCCGCUCAGCUGUUUCUUGCAGAGUUGACAAUGUUCAGUGGCGGAUUUGUCCUAAGACCCAGUGGGCCCGGGCUUAGAGCGGCAAGAUAUUAGGGGUGGCUAAAAAAUAACUGCAUUCCCGUGCCCAGGGAGGUUUAGGGAUUAUACUGAGCAACUUUUACUAUGGGACCAACCCCGAAAUCGCGACAAAAAAAUUUACCCUUCCAUAGAAAAUGGCCGAGCCAAAAUGUAUGAAACAGCCAAUUUUUUUUCGCGGUUUCGGGGUUGGACCCAUAGUAAAAAUUGCUCUGUAUAACCACAAAACAUGUAACGGGAAUGUAGUUAUUUUAUAGCCACCCUGUAUAGAUGGGUGCUGAGAAAGGGGCGGCUAGUAGUUACUACAGGGCCUGGGGCCUAAAGCGGCCAACACUGCAAAUCCGCCAGACAAUGUUGACAUUCUUUUGACAAAGAUUCAUAAUGGGUCGAGCAUUCCCCAGUAUAUCAAUUUACAAUUCGCUAAUAAGUAUAAUAUAUUGAUUGACCCUUUUUGGAAGAUAGGAAAAAUAGCAAAACUAGCACAACAUACACGACCACAUCUAUUACAUAUUCAAAUGAGAAUAUAAUUACAGUUAUAUGUAUAAGCGCCACUUGCACCAUCCCACUAACCCGAGGUUAACCGGUUAAACAUGGAGUUACCAUGGUUACCAGUACAAUUUGACACUGGGAGGUUUAACCGGUUAACCCCGGGUUAGUGGAAUGUUGCAAGUGGCCCUUAUAUUAUUUACACACUUGAUAAGCUUCAGCAAAAACAUAUGGUGGAACAAGCAAGGCUCAGAACCGGUUUUUUUCUUCAUACAAAGAAUACCGGUAUUAAUAUGUUCUUUUUCGUUCUUUGGUUUAUUAUUUCAUUUUUGAUGGUUCAAUCUAAUAAUACGAAGUCGUUACCUAAUACGUAUUUCAGUCCUACGGAAAGAGCAUGAAAUAAUUAAAAAUAUUGGGUUGUUUUAAGAUAUAAAAAAAACCGGUUCAGAGUCCUGGGAACAAGAUGGAUGUACUGUCGCCAUCAGAUAUAUUACACUAUUGUCAAGGCUUUAGACUCUUUAAUAAUAAUUCAGUUUAACUCUUGCUUUGAAGAUAGGCAAAUAGUAUUACGUCCACUUGCACCAUCCAGGGUUAGCCACUAACUCGGAGUUAACCGUUAACACAGGGUUAAAUUGUACUGGUAACUGGGCAUAUCUAUUUAACGUUGUACCAAAACUAUUUGUGUUAGAAUUGGGAAUUUUUAUAUUAUUUCUACUCGGAAUCACGAGCUUUUUCCAUUUUUACUGAGCAAAAAAGUAUCCCCAAAAUUUUUGGUCCAUUUGGUUGCGGUUUUCUAUACAUCUUCUAUGACCGUAACAAAACGGACAAAAAAAAUUAUAUGAAAUUUUGGGGACACUGUUUUCGUAUUAGGAUCGAAAGAGCUCGUGAUUUGAGUGGAAAUAAUAUAAAAAACCGGGCAAGUGCGAAUCGGACUCGCGCACGAAGGGUUCCGUACCAUAAUGCAAAAAAAAAACGAAAAAAAAGCAAAAAAAAAAACGGUCACCCAUCCAAGUACUGACCACUCCCGACGUUGCUUAACUUUGGUCAAAAAUCACGUUUGUUGUAUAGGAGCCCCAUUUAAAUCUUUAUUUUAUUCUGUUUUUAGUAUUUGUUGUUAUAGCGGCAACAGAUAUACAUCAUCUGUGAAAAUUUCAACUGUCUAGCUAUCACGGUUCGUGAGAUACAGCCUGGUGACAGACGGACGGACAGCGAAGCUUAGUAAUAGGGUCCCGUUUUACCCUUUGGGUACGGAACCCUAAAAAAUUAAAAUCUAAAAUGCAAGUUCCGUACAACUUUAAAUAGAAAAAUAGAAAUGCCCAACUCCGGGUUUGACCAGUUAACCCCGAGUUAGUGGCUAACCCUGGAUGGCGCAAGUGGCCCUUAGAGAAUAUAUACGAAGUUUAUAUCUAAGUAUGACUUAUUUAAGCACUACUAAUUUAAAAGGGCCAGGAUACAGUAAAUACAGCUAUCAAUUCCAUGUUCAUAAUAUAUAUUAAUUAUACACAUCUUAGAUAUAAUUAUAAUAGUAUACAUACACAUCUGCAUCAUAAGAUAUUUGAUUACAUCAGUUUUGUGAUAUAAUUUAUACAAAAAAACAACAAAAGUAAAACAAA